rnacentral:rRNA from 1 species
UACGUAGGGUGCGAGCGUUGUCCGGAAUUAUUGGGCGUAAAGAGCUUGUAGGCGGUCUGUCGCGUCUGCUGUGAAAAUCCGGGGCUCAACCCCGGACUUGCAGUGGGUACGGGCAGACUAGAGUGUGGUAGGGGAGACUGGAAUUCCUGGUGUAGCGGUGAAAUGCGCAGAUAUCAGGAGGAACACCGAUGGCGAAGGCAGGUCUCUGGGCCGUAACUGACGCUGAGACGCGAAAGCGUGGGGAGCAAACAGG